CACGUAGGGCGCAAGCGUUGUCCGGAAUUAUUGGGCGUAAAGAGCUCGUAGGCGGUCUGUUGCGUCUGCUGUGAAAACCCGGGGCUCAACUUCGGGCUUGCGGUCGAUACGGGCGGGCUAGAGUUCGGUAGGGGAGACUGGAAUUCCUGGUGUAGCGGUGAAAUGCGCAGAUAUCAGGAGGAACACCGGUGGCGAAGGCGGGUCUCUGGGCCGAUACUGACGCUGAGGAGCGAAAGCGUGGGGAGCGAACAGG
rnacentral:rRNA from 1 species